GUGGGUCCUAUGGUGGCUGUGGCGGCGGCAGAACACCAAGGCCACCUAAGUAUCAACAGGGUCAGGGCCGUGGUGGUCAGUAGUAUAGCCGAAGAGGACAUGGUGGUGUUCAGCGGCGCUCACCUGCUCAACAACCACAAUCGCAGCCACUGCAGCCCCAACAGCGACGGGGAUAUCAAGGGCCGGGAAUGGGGUUGACACCCCAACGUGGGGCCUAUGGUGGCCGUGGCGGCGGCACAACACCACGUCCAGCUAAGUAUCAACAGGGUCGGUUCCAGUUAGUUUUUUAACCAAAUUUUAGUGUCGGUUAAUCGACAAGUCGGUUUAGUUAUUAACCGAAUAGCCACCCAUAUCAGUAUUCUGAUUCUGUUUAAGAUUAUGCGAUUGAAUGUUCCGGUGAAAUGUUUCGGAUUGAAUGGUCCGGUGAAAUGACCCGGUAAUUUAUGUUUAUGAUCUAUUGGAUAGCUUUUAACUUGUUUAUUUUCAGAUGAUCUUUUCAAUGCAACACAGACAUUUA